UACGUAGGGGGCAAGCGUUGCUCGGAAUCACUGGGCGUAAAGGGUGCGUAGGCGGGUCUUUAAGUCCGGGGUGAAAUCCUGGAGCUCAACUCCAGAACUGCCUUUGAUACUGAAGAUCUUGAGUUCGGGAGAGGUGAGUGGAACUGCGAGUGUAGAGGUGAAAUUCGUAGAUAUUCGCAAGAACACCAGUGGCGAAGGCGGCUCACUGGCCCGAUACUGACGCUGAGGCACGAAAGCGUGGGGAGCAAACAGG
rnacentral:rRNA from 1 species